CUGACAAUUGCAACGAGGAACGGUGAGGGGACAGGUGUGGACGCGGCUUUAUUCGGAGCGACGUCCAACUUUCUCCAUGGACUGUACGAGGAGCUUACACCGUCGGCCCGGCCGAAGAAGAACCGGCUACGUGGUCGCCAGCUCGUGUCCGUCCAUCCGUCGCGAUUUCUCGGAGCAAAUUUUGCCGAGUAAUAUCUUCCUGCGACGAAGCUUGAGAAAUUAACAGGAUUGCCCGCAAGGAAACGGAAAACAACACAAGGGCGUCAGCGUGGGAGGACAACUGAGGGAUCCCGGACAUUCACGAGCACCUGGAGACUCCUCGCCGGUGGAAUUACACGGAAACGAGAAAGGCUGCCGGGAUCGCGUUACCUGAGAGGCUUUGAGUGGCAGCGGGGGAAGGCUACCGUGUCAGCACCGGACCCAUUGUCACGCACAUCAACCCAUCGCGUCCAGAACGCAAGCGCGUGACUCCGUAUACAUAUGUAUGCGAGGAGGAGCG